UACGGAGGGGGCUAGCGUUGUUCGGAAUCAUUGGGCGUAAAGCGCGCGUAGGCGGCCCUGUAAGUCCGUUGUGAAAGUCAAAGGCUCAACCUUUGAAAGCCGAUGGAUACUGCAGGGCUAGAGUCCGGAAGAGGCGAGUGGAAUUCCUGGUGUAGCGGUGGAAUGCGCAGAUAUCAGGAGGAACACCCAUAGCGAAGGCAGCUCGCUGGGACGGUACUGACGCUAAGGCGCGAAAGCGUGGGGAGCGAACAGG
rnacentral:rRNA from 1 species